CGGGACACGUGGUAUCCUGUCUGAAUAUGGGGGGACCAUCCUCCAAGGCUAAAUACUCCUGACUGACCGAUAGUGAACCAGUACCGUGAGGGAAAGGCGAAAAGAACCCCGGCGAGGGGAGUGAAAAAGAACCUGAAACCGUGUACGUACAAGCAGUGGGAGCACGCUUAGGCGUGUGACUGCGUACCUUUUGUAUAAUGGGUCAGCGACUUAUAUUCUGUAGC
rnacentral:rRNA from 1 species